rnacentral:sRNA from 1 species
AUGGCUGUCGUCAGCUCGUGUCGUGAGAUGUUGGGUUAAGUCCCGCAACGAGCGCAACCCUUGUCCUAUGUUGCCAGCGCGUAAUGGCGGGGACUCGUAGGAGACUGCCGGGGUCAACUCGGAGGAAGGUGGGGACGACGUCAAGUCAUCAUGCCCCUUACGUCCAGGGCUGCACACAUGCUACAAUGGCCGGUACAGAGGGCUGCUAUCCCGCGAGGGUGAGCGAAUCCCAAAAAGCCGGUCUCAGUUCGGAUUGCAGUCUGCAACUCGACUGCAUGAAGUUGGAGUUGCUAGUAAUCCCGGAUCAGCAACGCCGGGGUGAAUACGUUCCCGGGCCUUGUACACACCGCCCGUCAAACCACGAAAGUCGGCAACACCCGAAGCCGGUCACCCAACCACUCUGUGGAGGGAGCCGUCGAAGGUGGGGUCGGUGAUUGGGGUUAAGUCGUAACAAGGUAGCCGUACCGGAAGGUGCGGCUGGAUCACCUCCUUUCUAAGGAGUCAUCGUUCAAGUAGCUCUCAGCAUUUGCCGGGAGUCUUGAGAACUCCCAGUCGAUCACUGAUUAUUCGGCGCUUUUUCCACUUACAGUCUGCGGUAUUGACGACUUCGGUCGACAACCCCCAGCUGUGAGCAAUAAAAGCGGUGGACUGUUCCUGUUCCGUUUUCAGGGAGCGGCGAAAGCGCCCCUUGAGAACUCCAUAGCGAGCACGAGCAUCUAAUUCUCCAAGCUACAAAGAGCCAACGGCGGAUGCCUUGGCGCCUGAAGCCGAUGAAGGACGUGGGUGGCUGCGAAAAGCCGCGGGGAGCUGUCUACCAAGCUUCGAUCCGCGGAUGUCCGAAUGGGGAAACCCGG